UAGCCGUCUGCUCUGCCACACUGGCCUGGGCUUGAGGCAAUACAGGCGAGAAGCUUGCCCUGCUGGAACUGCUCCUCCAGAAGACUGCUGAUUUUGGCUUUUUUUAGAUGGGAAGAG